rnacentral:rRNA from 1 species
GUGUGGGUAGCGGAGAAAUUCCAAUCGAACUUGGAGAUAGCUGGUUCUCUCCGAAAUAGCUUUAGGGCUAGCCUCGAGGUAAAGAGUCAUGGAGGUAGAGCACUGUUUGGACUAGGGGCCCUUCUCGGGUUACCGAAUUCAGAUAAACUCCGAAUGCCAUGUACUUAUACUCGGGAGUCAGACUGCGAGUGAUAAGAUCCGUAGUCGAAAGGGAAACAGCCCAGACCACCAGUUAAGGUCCCCAAAUAUAUGUUAAGUGGAAAAGGAUGUGGGGUUGCUUAGACAACCAGGAUGUUGGCUUAGAAGCAGCCACCAUUGAAAGAGUGCGUAAUAGCUCACUGGUCGAGUGACCCCGCGCCGAAAAUGUACCGGGGCUAAACAUAUUACCGAAACUGUGGAUGAACCUCUUUAGAGGUUCGUGGUAGGAGAGCGUUCUAAGGGCGGUGAAGUCAGACCGGAAGGACUGGUGGAGCGCUUAGAAGUGAGAAUGCCGGUAUGAGUAGCGAAAGAAGGGUGAGAAUCCCUUCCACCGAAUAUCUAAGGUUUCCUGAGGAAGGCUCGUCCGCUCAGGGUUAGUCGGGACCUAAGCCGAGGCCGAUAGGCGUAGGCGAUGGACAACAGGUAGAGAUUCCUGUACCAGUGCUAAUUGUUUAACCGAUGGGGUGACACAGAAGGAUAGGGAAUCGCACGAAUGGAAAUGUGCGUCCAAGCAGUGAGUGUGAGAAGUAGGCAAAUCCGCUUCUCGCGAAGCAUGAGCUGUGAUGGGGAAGGAAAUUAAGUACGGAAGUUCCUGAUUUCACGCUGUCAAGAAAAGCCUCUAGGAAGAGUAGUACUGCCCGUACCGCAAACCGACACAGGUAGAUGAGGAGAGAAUCCUAAGGUGAGCGAGAGAACUCUCGUUAAGGAACUCGGCAAAAUGACCCCGUAACUUCGGGAGAAGGGGUGCUCUAUUAGGGUGCAAGCCCGAGAGAGCCGCAGUGAAUAGGCCCAGGCGACUGUUUAGCAAAAACACAGGUCUCUGCAAAACCGUAAGGUGACGUAUAGGGGCUGACGCCUGCCCGGUGCUGGAAGGUUAAGAGGAGUGCUUAGCUUCGGCGAAGGUACGAAUUGAAGCCCCAGUAAACGGCGGCCGUAACUAUAACGGUCCUAAGGUAGCGAAAUUCCUUGUCGGGUAAGUUCCGACCCGCACGAAAGGCGCAACGAUCUGGGCACUGUCUCAACGAGAGACUCGGUGAAAUUAUAGUACCUGUGAAGAUGCAGGUUACCCGCGACAGGACGGAAAGACCCCGUGGAGCUUUACUGCAACCUGAUAUGGAAUGUUUGUACCGCUUGUACAGGAUAGGUAGGAGCCGAAGAGACGUGUGCGCUAGCAUACGAGGAGGCAAUGGUGGGAUACUACCCUGGCUGUAUGACCAUUCUAACCCGCCACGCUUAGCGCGUGGGGAGACAGUGUCAGGUGGGCAGUUUGACUGGGGCGGUCGCCUCCUAAAGAGUAACGGAGGCGCCCAAAGGUUCCCUCAGAAUGGAUGGAAAUCAUUCGCAGAGUGUAAAGGCACAAGGGAGCUUGACUGCGAGACUGACAAGUCGAGCAGGGACGAAAGUCGGGCUUAGUGAUCCGGUGGUUCCGCAUGGAAGGGCCAUCGCUCAACGGAUAAAAGCUACCCCGGGGAUAACAGGCUUAUCUCCCCCAAGAGUCCACAUCGACGGGGAGGUUUGGCACCUCGAUGUCGGCUCGUCGCAUCCUGGGGCUGUAGUCGGUCCCAAGGGUUGGGCUGUUCGCCCAUUAAAGCGGCACGCGAGCUGGGUUCAGAACGUCGUGAGACAGUUCGGUCCCUAUCCGUCGCGGGCGCAGGAAAUUUGAGAGGAGCUGUCCUUAGUACGAGAGGACCGGGAUGGACACACCGCUGGUGUACCAGUUGUUCCGCCAGGAGCAUCGCUGGGUAGCUAUGUGUGGCAGGGAUAAACGCUGAAAGCAUCUAAGCGUGAAGCCCCCCUCAAGAUGAGAUUUCCCAUUUCUUCGGAAAGUAAGAUCCCUGAAAGAUGAUCAGGUAGAUAGGUUUGGAGUGGAAGUGUAGCGAUACAUGGAGCGGACAAAUACUAAUCGAUCGAGGACUUAACCAAAA